rnacentral:rRNA from 1 species
UACGUAGGGUGCAAGCGUUAUCCGGAAUUAUUGGGCGUAAAGAGCUCGUAGGCGGUUUGUCGCGUCUGCUGUGAAAACUGGAGGCUCAACCUCCAGCCUGCAGUGGGUACGGGCAGACUAGAGUGCGGUAGGGGAGAUUGGAAUUCCUGGUGUAGCGGUGGAAUGCGCAGAUAUCAGGAGGAACACCGAUGGCGAAGGCAGAUCUCUGGGCCGUAACUGACGCUGAGGGGCGAAAGCAUGGGGAGCGAACAGG